UGUUUUGCCGCAGGAAGCUAUUCCAUUUCACUGCCUUACAUCCUCAUGGGAAGCAUUACAGCUCUGUCAGGGUUGCUGAGUCUCCUGCUGCCUGAGAGCUAUGGAAUGCCUCUGCCGGACACCAUUUCUCACAUGCAAAAUUUCCCUGGAUGUUGUCAGAAGACACCUUAUACACCCACACACUGAAGAACAGGAACACGCUGCUGAAAGAAAGUCUCCGGUUGAUCCUUGAACAAGGAGCUGCACUGAUAUCUGGGUUGAGGCGAUUAACUGGACAAUCAUUAUGUCACUUUCCAUUUUUCUGGUAAAUGGACAUUUGUCAGGAAUAACUCAAAUAAAUUGUUACUUUGUCACUGGAUUUGUGAAAGUAUGUGACUUACACAGUACAAGGAACAUGACAUUUAUUCAAACAAUAGUGCUUUUAAAAUAUCUCCACAAAACUGGAGUAAUGUUUUCUCUGCAACAGCAUUAAAAAAAACUGUAAAAUGAAAAGUAUAACAAUCCUGUGCAUUACACACGCUCAGCGCCCAUGCAAUUAUUACCAUAGUUGCAUAAUACUGCUGUUCAAAAAAUAAAAUAAUGUACUAAACAAACGUACAUACGUAUACAUGAAACAAAGUUUCUAAUAUUCUGAUACCAAUUUAAUCAGAACCAGUAUCCUUGUUUAGGGUUGAUGUUAUAACUGUAUCUUUUACUUCAAAUCCAAGACAUUUGCAUAUUUCAGUUUCUAGUGAAUAUUUGUAUACAUCUUUGUGAUUUUCACAAAGUGAAGGCCAAAUUUUAUUUACUCAAAAAUGUUUUAGUACACGUGUAAAUAUGAUUCUUUUAAUUUCACUUCUUACAAAAAGGUCAUGUAAAAUCAUUAAAUCCAUUUGUACUGAUUAACAUGUUGUUGAUAGAAAUGUUGAAUAGUUAGAACAGCAAACAUUAGGAAUGAUAGUAAAUGGUACAACAUUUAUUAAUAGCUUGUGUAAGUAAUGUUUUAGACAAUCAGAGUUGACUUUCGAAAAACACCACAGGUUUUGAAUGAUCUUUUCUUGUGAUGAAUGGAAACUUCAUGCUGU